AUAAAAUGAUGAACAACGGGUCUACCGAGUUCUUCCCGACGGGGAAGGACGAUGAGGAGCCGUUGGAGCACUGAUU
rnacentral:snoRNA from 1 species